GGACUACCCGGGUUUCUAAUCCUGUUUGCUCCCCUAGCUUUCGUGCAUGAGCGUCAGUAUUGGCCCAGGGGGCUGCCUUCGCCAUCGGUAUUCCUCCACAUCUCUACGCAUUUCACUGCUACACGUGGAAUUCUACCCCCCUCUGCCAUACUCUAGCCCGCCAGUCACAAAUGCAGUUCCCAGGUUAAGCCCGGGGAUUUCACAUCUGUCUUAGCGGACCGCCUGCGCACGCUUUACGCCCAGUAAUUCCGAUUAACGCUUGCACCCUACGUAUUACCGCGGCGGCUGGCAC
rnacentral:rRNA from 1 species